CUUCAAAAGAAAAAAAUCAUACCAAACGCUUCUUUUGGCCACCGUAACGGCGAAAGCUCCUCUCUUUUCCUUCGCCUCUCUCGAUCUUUCCUCGCCGUCUCGCCCUUUUGUUUUCACUGUUCUUCAGAUUCCGUGUUUGACCUUUCUUCGUUGAUUCCACUGAGCAUAUUCCGUACCUUCGAAGAAAUUAGGGUUCCGAUCUGUUUUUUAUUUUCGGCUUUGCUUCAGAUUUAUGUUAUAAUCUGAAUUUAAUUUCCUUAUGAGUUGCGAUAUCGGUUCGAUCUUCAUCGUGUGUGCUUGAUUUAUAUCGGAUUUGGUGUUAAAUCCAAGCUUGGGCCUUUUUUCGGGUUUGGUUUAGUGCAGAAACCGAUGGAGACUGAAAGCCCUAACGGAUCUCUGCCGCUACCAUCGCCGCCUCCGCAGAAUUAUGGGAUUACGAAACCUAUAUCCCUCGCGGGCCCGACUGAGGCUGAUAAUCAGCGGAAUACGGAAUUGGAGAAGUUUCUGAUAGAGUCGGGGAUUUACGAGAGCAAAGAGGAAGCUGCGAAAAGAGAGGAGGUUCUUGGCCAUAUCUCUGAGAUUGUAAAAAGUUGGGUAAAGCAAUUAACUCGUCAAAGAGGCUACACUGAUCAAAUGGUGGAGGAAGCAAACGCAGUCAUUGUCACUUUUGGGUCAUACCGUUUAGGGGUGCAUGGACCUGGGGCUGACAUAGACACUUUGUGUGUUGGGCCAUCUUAUGUGAACCGAGAGGAAGAUUUCUUCAUCAUUUUGCAUGAUAUUUUGGCCGAGAUGGAAGAAGUCACUGAACUUCAACCAGUUCCAGAUGCUCAUGUCCCAGUAAUGAAAUUUAAGUUCCAAGGGAUAUCUAUUGAUCUUCUUUACGCAAGUAUAUCUCUUUUGGUUGUUCCAGAUGACCUUGACAUAUCACGUGAAUCUGUGCUGCAUAAUGUCGAUGAGCAAACUGUUCGAAGUCUUAACGGGUGCAGGGUUGCUGAUCAAAUCCUUAAACUUGUUCCGAAUGUCGAGCACUUCCGCGUGACACUUAGAUGUUUGAAGUUCUGGGCGAAGAGGCGUGGAGUUUAUUCCAAUGUUACCGGAUUCCUAGGAGGUGUGAAUUGGGCACUUCUUGUUGCACGUGUGUGUCAACUUUAUCCCAAUGCAGUACCUAGUAUGCUGGUUUCUCGGUUUUUUAGAGUAUAUACUCAAUGGAGGUGGCCAAACCCUGUUAUGUUGUGUUCAAUAGAAGAAAAUGAACUUGGCUUUCCCGUCUGGGAUCCUCGCAAGAAUCCUCGGGACCGUUAUCAUCAAAUGCCUAUAAUAACUCCUGCAUACCCUUGCAUGAAUUCCAGUUACAAUGUAUCUUCAAGCACUCUUCGUGUUAUGAUGGAACAGUUCCAAUUUGGUAAUAGAAUAUGUGAGGAGAUUGAUCUAAACAAAGUUCAAUGGAGUGCUUUGUUUGACCUUCAUCUUUUCUUUGAGGCGUACAAAAACUAUCUGCAAGUUGACAUAGUUUCUGCAGAUGUUGUUGAUUUGUUGGCAUGGAAGGGCUGGGUGGAGUCACGACUUAGACUGCUUACCUUGAAGAUAGAGCGAGACACAAAUGGAAUGCUGCAGUGUCACCCUUACCCAAAUGAGUAUGUUGAUACAUCCAAGGAGUUCCCACAUUGUGCUUUCUUCAUGGGCUUGCAGAGGAAAGAGGGAGUGAGUGGUCUAGAAGGUCAACAAUUUGACAUUCGUGGAACAGUUGAUGAGUUCAGACAAGAGAUAAGCAUGUACAUGUAUUGGAAACCAGGAAUGGAUAUUUAUGUUUCUCAUGUUCGUAGGAGGCAGCUCCCUGCUUUUGUUUUCCCUGAUGGACAUAGACGGCCUCGAUCAUUGAGGCAUCCAAGUCAGCAUACUGGAAAGACUUCUGAAGAUGUCAGAAGGUCCUGCUCAGACUCUGCGGAAAGACAAAUUAAGAGAAAACGUGAUCAUGAGACAGUUGAUGAAAAAUUGAACAAGCCUGAGAAGCAAGCAUCAAUUAGCCCCCCGAGAAUGAAGUCGGUUUCUCCCGAUAUUAUUACAAGCAAGUCUGGUGGAACUUCUCAUAUUCAUAAUAUUCAAGCAGUUAAAUUAGAGCAUCCUAAAACUGGUGAUGUUGAUACCAAAUCUGUUGAUAGUAUGUCUGGUGGGCAGACUUCUUUAGCCGUAGAUAAUUCAUCGGUAGUUAGAAAUGUAGAAUCAGCUGAACAGAUGAGUGUACGAGUUAGGCAGGAGUUACUUUCUUCAUGUGAAGUCCAUGAUUCUGAAAUAAGGGAAACAUCUAAGGUUGGAUUGAAUCAAGAGAAAACUGCAGAUUUGGCAUCAGCUUUUAUCAAUGAUCCAGAAAUUGGAUCUUCUAGGAGAAUCUUGAACUGGAAAGGAGUUGCUGUUGAGGUCGAUCAAGAGGUGGUCAAAGCAUGUACUCGAACAGCAGCAGUAGAAAUUGCUGAAAGUGUAUUUGGGUCAAGUCCCAACAUACAGAACCUCAAUUGCAAGGGCAGCGUAUGCAGUGCUGAUUUGGAAUCACUGCUGGAAAAUGGACAUCUGAAUGCAAGUGGCGUUUUCCAAAGCAACUUGUCUGAGGAAUUAAAGGUCCUGCUCCACCAUCAUACGUGCUAUGUUUCCAGUAACUGUGCUUAAGACCUUGACUCUCCGAGUAUAUCAGUCGAAAAGGUUGUAAAUUCCCAAGAUGGCGCUAGGUCAGAUACUUUGCAGAAGUCAGUGAUGAGCAGGUGGAGUUUGAAGUCAACGGCAUAAUGUGUUGUAGAUGACGGGUUUUGGAGAAAUCUUUGUUACCAAAGGAGUAUAUGGCCAGUACACCUCGGUAAGUGUCACAUUAUUAGCUGGGUUUACGUUAUGGUUAUACAGGUAUAAUACCAAGUGUGACUGGACUAGCAAAAGUAUAUUUGGCCGUGCAGCGGCGGAGAGCUGUUUUGUUCAGCUGAUAGUUUUGGGUUGUGGCGUUUGGUUGUUAAGCUUAGGAGGGAGCCAAGAAGCUUUACUAGAGUGGUGGUUCUUUGAAGACUUUGCUAUUUUUUUUUUUUAUGCUCGAGUGUCGAUGCUUCUCGGUUCCAUUCGAGAAUGAACAACUCUUCCAACAACAAGAAACUGUAAAUCAAACUGGAGUGUUGCUGUA